GACGAACGCUGGCGGCGUGCUUAACACAUGCAAGUCGAACGGAAAGGCCCUGCUUUUGUGGGGUGCUCGAGUGGCGAACGGGUGAGUAACACGUGAGUAACCUGCCCUUGACUUUGGGAUAACUUCAGGAAACUGGGGCUAAUACCGGAUAGGAGCUCCUGCUGCAUGGUGGGGGUUGGAAAGUUUCGGCGGUUGGGGAUGGACUCGCGGCUUAUCAGCUUGUUGGUGGGGUAGUGGCUUACCAAGGCUUUGACGGGUAGCCGGCCUGAGAGGGUGACCGGCCACAUUGGGCCUGCGAGACGGCCCAGACUCCUACGGGAGGCAGCAGUGGGGAAUAUUGCGCAAUGGGCGGAAGCCUGAUGCAGCAACGCCGCGUGCGUGAAGACGGCCUUCGGGUUGUAAACCGCUUUGGCCUGUGACGAAGCGUGAGUGACGGUAAUGGGUAAAGAAGCACCGGCUAACUACGUG
rnacentral:rRNA from 1 species